UACGGUAGGGACCAAGCGUUGUUCGGAUUUACUGGGCGUAAAGAGCUCGUAGGUGGUUUGUCGCGUUGUCCGUGAAAACUCACAGCUCAACUGUGGGCGUGCGGGCGAUACGGGCAGACUUGGAGUACUGCAGGGGAGACUGGAAUUCCUGGUGUAGCGGUGAAAUGCGCAGAUAUCAGGAGGAACACCGAUGGCGAAGGCAGGUCUCUGGGCAUUACCUGACGCUGAGGAGCGAAAGCAUGGGGAGCGAACAGG
rnacentral:rRNA from 1 species